AAGAAUAUGUGUACGAUCCGUGGUAAUGUAUGGUUGGUGGUACUGUAUGUUAAUAGGGUGUGAAGUUGGCAUGUAUGUAGUUUGUCUUGCCUUGAAACAGAUUUUACAUAUAAUCAUUUGGUUUUCAGAAUACGUUGUGUAUAGGUUAAAAGAAUGGUCGAGCUAGAAUGUGCCGUGUUGAUAGGGUCAGGGGAUUGUGACAAGUACCUCAAGUCUUACAAAGUACUCAAAGAUUAAUAUCAUUCAUCCAGAGGAAAAUUACAUACUGCAAGAAAAAAUUAAGAAAAUGCAAACUUUACUAGCAAAGAAGGAAAAGUCAGAUGAACUGUUGUACAAAGAGCUAGGAGAAAAGGAAAAGUCCAACGAAUUGUUGUGCAAAAUGCUAAGAGAAGAGAAGAAGUCCAACGAAUUGUUGUGUGAAAUGCUAAGAGAAAAGGAAAAGUCCGAAGAAUUUUUAUACAAAAAGCUAUAGGAGAAGGAAAAACAAAGGCUGAAAGAUUUGUUAUUACAGAAACAGCUUCAGGACGAGAAGGACGUACAGAACAAAGUCCUGGUGGAAGAACUUUGGAAAGAAUUUUCAGCAAAAGUAGAUGGUUUUAAAAUUCAGCUAACAAGACAAGUGCAGGGCCUGCAGGAAGAAAAGAUCAAAAUAGAGAAUUAUAUGAGAGGACUGUCUAAGAAGGAGGGAACAUCAGCUAAAAACUUAAAACGAAUGCAGGAGGUACUUCAGAAAGUAAAAAUAGAUUUGUCCAAUACUGAAGGAAAGAAUGAGUAUCUUGUAUAAAAAUAUUGAUUUUGACGUGACUAUUUUUUUUUUGCUUACCGACCGAUACACUAUUAUAUUAUAUAUUUCCUAAUUGAUGUAAUAUUUUGUUUAACUUGUUUUUCUCAAAAAUAAAUAGUUAGGUGCUAAUCUUUCUGUGUUUUAAUAGAACAUAAGUACAACACCUUAGGCUUAUGUAGUGCUGUGAAAUUUCAAAUACGUGUAAAUUGAGGUUAUUUUAUAGUUUUGAAUAUUUUUAGUGUAGUAGUGUGUAUUAUGAGUUGUGCCUUAAACUAAAUAGAUCUGUUUGUUGAUUAAGUGAAAUUUUUAAGUUAAAUAGUUUGGUGAAUUCAUCUCCUUUCCAUUUUCUUUGUGGAAAUACGUGAGUGAAGUGCAAGUGAAUUGGGGUUACUUUUGGUUAUUUGGGGUAUUGUGUGCUGUGAGUGGCAUUAAGUGACAUAAUUCUAUUUGUGG